UACAGAGGUGACAAGCGUUGUUCGGAAUUACUGGGCGUAAAGGGCGCGUAGGCGGCUCGACAAGUCCCGCGUGAAAGCCCCCGGCUCAACUGGGGAACUGCGCGGGAAACUGUCGGACUUGAGUUCGGGAGAGGGAAGCGGAAUUCCGGGUGUAGCGGUGGAAUGCGUAGAGAUCCGGAAGAACACCGGUGGCGAAGGCGGCCUGCUGGGCAGUAGCUGACACUGAGGCGCGACAGCGUGGGGAGCAAACAGG
rnacentral:rRNA from 1 species